UCAAGUUUUUAAGGGCACACGGUGGAUGCCUUGGCACCAGGAACCGAAGAAGGACGUAGGAAUCUGCGAUAAGCCUCGGGGAGUCGAUAACCAGACUGUGAUCCGAGGAUUUCCGAAUGGGGAAACCCGGCUGGAGGCAAGUCCAGUCACCCCUACCUGAACACAUAGGGUAGGUGGAGGGAACGUGGGGAAGUGAAACAUCUCAGUACCCACAGGAAGAGAAAGCAACCGCGAUUCCGUGAGUAGUGGCGAGCGAAAGCGGAAGAGGCUAAACCGUACAUGUGAAAUAGCUGUCAGGCGUUGCAUGUACGGGGUCGUGGGACCUCUUGGUCGGCUCUGACAGGCCGGCAUGGAGUCAAAAAUUCGCGUUAUAGUCGAAGGGCAUUGAAAGGCCCGGCACAGAGGGUGCUACCCCCGUAGACGAAAUGACGCGAACUCCAUAGAGACAUCCCAAGUAGCACGGGGCCCGAGAAAUCCCGUGUGAAUCUGGCGGGACCACCCGCUAAGCCUAAAUAUUCCCUGGUGACCGAUAGCGGACAAGUACCGUGAGGGAAAGGUGAAAAGUACCCCGGGAGGGGAGUGAAAUAGUACCUGAAACCGGUCGCCUACAAUCCGUCGGAGCCUCUUUGUGGGGUGACGGCGUGCCUUUUGAAGAAUGAGCCUGCGAGUUAGUGGUACGUGGCGAGGUUAACCCGUGUGGGGAAGCCGUAGCGAAAGCGAGUCCGAAUAGGGCGUUUUAGUCGCGUGCUCUAGACCCGAAGCGAAGUGAUCUAUCCAUGGCCAGGGUGAAGCGACGGUAAGACGUCGUGGAGGCCCGAACUCACUUGGGUUGAAAACCGAGGAGAUGAGCUGUGGAUAGGGGUGAAAGGCCAAUCAAACUCCGUGAUAGCUGGUUCUCCCCGAAAUGCAUUUAGGUGCAGCGUCACGUGUUUCUUACCGGAGGUAGAGCUACUGGAUAGCCGAUGGGCCCCACCAGGUUACUGACGUUAGCCAAACUCCGAAUGCCGGUAAGUGAGAGCGUGGCAGUGAGACUGCGGGGGAUAAGCUCCGUAGUCGAGAGGGAAACAGCCCAGAUCACCAGCUAAGGUCCCUAAGCGUGUGCUAAGUGGGAAAGGAUGUGGAGUUGCAUUGACAACCAGGAGGUUGGCUUAGAAGCAGCCACCCUUUAAAGAGUGCGUAAUAGCUCACUGGUCAAGUGAUUCCGCGCCGACAAUGUAGCGGGGCUCAAGCACACCACCGAAGCUGUGGCAUUGACACUUUGCCCGGCCGUGUCCUUCGGGGCGCGGUCCAAGCGUGUUGAUGGGUAGGGGAGCGUCGUGUGGCGAGUGAAGCGGCGGAGUGAUCCAGCCGUGGACGCCACACGAGUGAGAAUGCAGGCAUGAGUAGCGAAUGACGGGUGAGAAACCCGUCCGCCGAAUAUCCAAGGGUUCCAGGGUCAAGCUAAUCUGCCCUGGGUAAGUCGGGACCUAAGGCGAGGCCGACAGGCGUAGUCGAUGGACAUCCGGUUGAUAUUCCGGAACCGGCGAAGAACCGCCCAUACCGAACCACGUAAUGCUAAGCGCCUGAAGUGUGGCACCGUCUUCGGAUGGUUCCACAUGGAGCGCGCGACCCUAGCGUGUAGUAGGUAAGCGAUGGAGAGACGCAGGAAGGUAGCCGAACCGCGGCGAUGGUAGACCGCGGGUAAGGAUGUAGGGCGAGGUGUAGGCAAAUCCGCACCUCAUGUGCCUGAGAUCUGACACGGACCCGUACAGGGGAAGUCGGUGAUCCUAUGCUGCCAAGAAAAUCUUCUAGCGAGGUUCGAGCCGCCCGUACCCCAAACCGACUCAGGUGGUUAGGUAGAGAAUACCAAGGCGAUCGAGUGAAUCGUGGUUAAGGAAUUCGGCAAAAUACCCCCGUAACUUCGGGAGAAGGGGGGCCCUGAUCGUGACGGCACUUGCUGCCCGAGCGUGAUCGGCCGCAGAGACCAGGGAGAAGCGACUGUUUACUAAAAACACAGGUCCGUGCCAAGUCGCAAGACGAUGUAUACGGACUGACGCCUGCCCGGUGCUGGAACGUUAAGGGGACCGGUUAGCCUCACGGCGAAGCUGAGAACUUAAGCGCCAGUAAACGGCGGUGGUAACUAUAACCAUCCUAAGGUAGCGAAAUUCCUUGUCGGGUAAGUUCCGACCUGCACGAAUGGCGUAA
rnacentral:rRNA from 1 species